UACGUAGGGGGCAAGCGUUGUCCGGAUUUAUUGGGCGUAAAGAGCGUGUAGGCGGCCAGGUAGGUCCGUUGUGAAAACUCGAGGCUCAACCUCGAGACGUCGGCGGAAACCCUCUGGCUAGAGUCCGGAAGAGGAGAGUGGAAUUCCUGGUGUAGCGGUGAAAUGCAUAGAUAUCAGGAGGAACACCCGUGGCGAAGGCGGCUGCCUGGGACACGCCUGACACUGAGAAGCGAAAGCUAGGGGAGCAAACGGG
rnacentral:rRNA from 1 species